rnacentral:rRNA from 1 species
UGCGUAGGCGGAAUAUUAAGUCAGUGGUGAAAUCCCAGAGCUCAACUCUGGAACUGCCAUUGAAACUGGUACUCUUGAAUAUAGUUGAGGUAGGCGGAAUGUGUAAUGUAGCGGUGAAAUGCUUAGAUAUUACACAGAACACCGAUUGCGAAGGCAGCUUACUAAACUAUGAUUGACGCUGAUGCACGAAAGCGUGGGGAGCGAACAGGAUUAGAUACCCUGGUAGUCC